CUCAAGACAAAACAUUGUCAACUUGACUGUAAUGGCUUUAAGUCAACAUACAACUGUGUGUGUGCGCGCACGUGCGCAUGAGUGACAUGCAUUUAGCUGAGUGUGGACAUUUGGAAAUGCUGUCCAUGCCUUUUUCAGCACAUGAACUAUGAAGAGUAUGUAUUGCACGUCUCUUCCCAAGGUCUGAUGCUAUUGCUGCCGGUAACUAUGAUGAAGAUGUGUGUGAUAACACGGUACAGUUGUUGUUAACGCCCGGUGUGUCAGAUCUAUGUGUGUCAUACUCUACCCUUGUACUAGACCCCUAAUGCGUCAGAGGUGUGUGUGUGUGUGUGACCAUGGGUAUAUAUAGAUUCACUGAGAGCCAAAGAGAGGAGAGAGCUACUGAUAUGGAGGGGGUGGAAUCAGGAGUAGUAGUGUUUACAGGAAAAUCAGAAGUGACAGAGAGGACUUGUUUAUCAGCUUAAAAACAAAAGAUUUUCUUUCCGAAUCAUAUAAUUUGCUUUGGUUUAGCAUUUGCUGUACACACCCGUUUAAAAGCAGUUGAAGUUAACCGUGUGUUAUUGCCUGAGGCGAAUAUACCCUUUUGCUUGAGUAAACUGCUGUAGACUGAUUUGAACAAGGUUAUUUAGUUAACUGGAAAUGAAUACGAACAAGGCAGAAAACUGGGACAUCUUUUAUCAGUGGCACUUGAAAAUGUGUUUUACGUACUCCCUAUUUUGUAUUACCUGUUGUAAAUGUAAGAGUGAGAACUAGGUUAUUAGUUAGGAAUAAAUACAGUGCACUAAUACUUCUACUUUAUCCAGGAAGCCAGUCCGUAACCUUUAUGUACCCUCUUUGGAAAUCAAGAGUGUUACAAACAAGCAAACACCUUGGGCUAUAUUCAGAUAUGAAAUAAAAUGAUACAUUUAUUCAGACAAAACCUCUAAUAGAGCUGCCAUGAUCCCCAGUCAACCUGGCAGACAAUCGUAUCACUUCCACUCAUUCAAUUUCUAUGUGAAUGUUUUGUAAUGUUCCACCUACCUGAACAGGCCUCUAUUUUAACUACUUGCAGGAACUCUUGUUAUGAUCCCAGAUGACAACUCACUAAAGUCCUCGCUUGUGACUCAAAUGGCACCCUAUUCUGUAGCGCACUACUUUUGACUAGGGCUCAUAGGGGAAGUGGUGCGCUUAGAGAAUUGGGACUCAAACACAACUCCCCACUGCCUGCUGCCCUGUGCACCACACCCUCUCACAGAAUGAAUAUCUACUUUUAAAUCACAUGUCAGAGUUGUUAAAAAAAGCUUUAUGAAUAGAACUAAUAAAGUGUGCUUGGG
ensembl:lncRNA